rnacentral:misc_RNA from 1 species
CCGAGUUUACAACUCCCAAACCCCUGUGAACAUACCAUGUUUUGCUUCGGCGGAGAGCCCGGCGUGGCGAAGCCUCGCCGGUAUCAGGCGCCCGCCAGGAGGACCCAAACAAACUCUUGAUUUGAUCUAAGUAUUUACUUCUGAGUAAUAAGUAAAUAAAUCA